rnacentral:tRNA from 1 species
GCGGGUAUAGUAUAGUGGCUUUUUAUGCUAGCCUUCCAAGCUGGAGAGACGGGUUCGAUUCCCGUUACCCGCU